rnacentral:tRNA from 1 species
CUCACGGGCUUCAAACCCGAGGGUGCCGCACA